rnacentral:miRNA from 17 species
AGCUGCUAGCUACACUCCACA